GAAGCUUGUUCUAGGGGCUGUAUUCCUGGGAGCAGGACAAAAUCUUGUGCUAGUUCUGCUUCCUCACUUGUAUCCUCAAGUUCCAGGGUCAACCUACUCUAACAUUGGAGCAAGGAGAAUAACAGCAAAGUAGCAGUUUGAAUUUGGUUGAACAGUACUCCUAUCACUGACUGUGAUCAAAAGAGACAGUAAAAUAAAAGGAUGGGAAUAAUGGAUGAAGAGGUUGAUACAUUGCCAACACCAUGAAGAAGAGUUUUCAGUGUGCUGCAUGAAAUUUCCAGAUCUUGGGGCUGAUAGAAGCAUUUUUGUAACUACGUAUUAUAGAAACAAACCUCACUUCAAAAAAUAUAUGAAAACCAAGAGAAUAUUUCAGAACAUAAAAACAUUUUCCUUUUUGUUCGGUUCACUUAUAUUACUGUUUACCUUAAAGAAUAGGAUGGGAACUCUCAAUGAAAUUGAAUAACUUGCCUUCAUGAUCUGGAGCCUCACAAAAAGGAGUCAGUUCAGUUGCCUAAGUGAUUUGCAGAUUUUGGCAACUAAAUACAGCACAGAAUUUAAUCUCUGUAUGUAUAUUUUUAGAUAGGUAGAU